CUUGCAGCCAUACAUCUAACUUGCUGACGUGGAUUUCCAUACACCACACUUGUAGAUCCAUUGAAUCCGACCAAACUCUAAUUCAACGACAAAAUGCUAGAGGGCAUCUUUUUUUUUUUUCAUUUCAUUAUUUAAGUCCCUCCGGAUAAGAACAAAAGUUACGGAACUAACGAGCUUCCAUGAGCUCAAAGGCCUCCUUAGCC
rnacentral:lncRNA from 1 species